rnacentral:misc_RNA from 1 species
AACGCAUCUUGCGCUCCUACGAAUUUUCAAGGGGCAUGCCUGUUUGAGUGUCAUUGAAUUUUCUCAUCCUUUAAAAGGGUUGGACUGUGGGGUUUGCCGGAUUCCCUUGAAGUUGAUCGAUCAAGCCCCGGCUACUCUUAAAUGCAGUAAGCAAAAACAAAAAAAGAAAAAAAAGAUUGCAUUGGUAGCUCCUAUGUAUAUUGAAUUCUUUUUGUUUGCUUUUAAAAAUUCGUUAUUGACUUGUUGACCUCAAAUCAGGCAAGACUACCCGCUGAACUUAA